GAUGAACGCUGGCGGCGUGCCUAAUACAUGCAAGUCGAGCGAACAGAUGAGGAGCUUGCUCCUCUGACGUUAGCGGCGGACGGGUGAGUAACACGUGGAUAACCUACCUAUAAGGCUGGGAUAACUUCGGGAAACCGGAGCUAAUACCGGAUAAUAUAUUGAACCGCAUGGUUCAAUAGUGAAAGACGGUUUUGCUGUCACUUUAGAUGGAUCCGCGCCGCAUUAGCUAGUUGGUAAGGUAACGGCUUACCAAGGCAACGAUGCGUAGCCGACCUGAGAGGGUGAUCGGCCACACUGGAACUGAGACACGGUCCAGACUCCUACGGGAGGCAGCAGUAGGGAAUCUUCCGCAAUGGGCGAAAGCCUGACGGAGCAACGCCGCGUGAGUGAUGAAGGUCUUCGGAUCGUAAAACUCUGUUAUUAGGGAAGAACAAAUGUGUAAGUAACUAUGCACGUCUUGACGGUACCUAAUCAGAAAGCCACGGCUAACCACGUG
rnacentral:rRNA from 1 species